UGUCGCGGAUUAGGAAUGCAUUUGUGGAUGUCUUUCGUAGAAUUUGAUGUGAAGAUGUAUUAAAAUGUGUGCGUAAUGUUGGAUGUCCCUUUGCAGAAUCACAGCCAUCAACUAAGAGCAAUCCGCAGUCAGGAUCACUACUAACGGCAAAGGGAAAUUCAAGAGAAAAGUUUCUACAGGUGUAGGAUUUGGGACAUUUGGAAUGAGCUUUGAGUAGUAGAAGAAGAAGAUGGCAUAGCAGCAACAUUACAUACUUGCCAAGAGCCAUUCUCUCUCUCUACUUGUGAAGUCUUGUGUAGUACGAGUUGUGUUAAAUAAUAAUAUGUUGAAACAUGACUCCAUCAAGUCGUUGGCUCCAUUCAUCACGCUGAUUGACUGACUUAGUCUUCCUUCCAAAUUCUAACAUAGAUAUUCUUCUAACUAAGUUCCCUCUUUCACACUUCACUUGACUAGCAUUUACCUACACUCCACCAUUCCUCUCUUGUCCCAUCCGAACCCCGUCCAACCCCAAGACCGGCCUACUCAGUAAUGUGACCAAGCUAAAGAACGAGCACCAUCAACAUCUUUUAAGCCUGAUAAUAUAGGUAUGAUUAUGAGGUGUGACUCACGGAAUAGCGAGAUACAGCGAGGAGGUUACAGCUAACUAACUAGACCGGCCGUGGAAGCUUCUAGAAGGAUGUUCUGUUUCUUCACUAGGGUAGAACUGGUUCCGGUUGUCUGCAAGACACUGGCCCCCUCCCCGGUAGCAUCGAUCACAAUCUUCCGACACACUCCACUCCAAACUGAAACUAUAAGUCAACAUCUCCGACAGUUGUGUCGAGUUCACAUCAGACUUCAC